GACGAACGCUGGCGGUAUGCUUAACACAUGCAAGUCGAACGAGAAGUUUUUUAUUGAACCUUCGGGGGAUAUAAGAGACAGACAGUGGCGAACGGGUGAGUAACGCGUGGGCAACCUACCUAUCGGAGCGGGAUAGCCUCGAGAAAUCGGGAGUAAAACCGCAUAACAGGAUAUAUCGCAUGAUGAAUCCGUCAAAACUCCGGUGCCGAUAGAUGGGCCCGCGUCUGAUUAGCUAGUGGUAAGGUAAGGGCUUACCAAGGCAACGAUUAGUAGCCGGUCUGAGAGGGCGAACGGCCACACUGGAACUGAGACACGGUCCAGACUCCUACGGGAGGCAGCAGUGGGGAAUAUUGCGCAAUGGGGGCAACCCUGACGGAGCAAUACCGCGUGAGUGAAGAAGGUUUUCGGAUCGUAAAGCUCUGUUAUUGGGGAAGAAGCAGGACGGUACC
rnacentral:rRNA from 1 species